rnacentral:sRNA from 1 species
UGUAGAAACCAUCUUCGCAGGAUCUUCAAGCAGUUACUCCGAUGUUCUGGGUUGUCACGCCAAGCGGUGCUUCCUUUGCUCCAUGUUUCUUCCUUGAUUGUCGUGCCUGGUGAGCACAGGCUCAUGCAGAACUUUUUAGGAUAUCCAACAUGGAAACCGGCACAGUAAAGUGGUUCAACGACUCCAAGGGCUUCGGCUUCAUCACCCCGGACGCAGGCGGCAACGAUCUCUUCGCUCACUUCUCUGAAGUUCAGGGCAACGGGUUCAAGUCCCUCCAAGAGGGUCAGAAGGUGCGCUACGUUGCAGGCGUUGGCCAAAAGGGCCCGGCUGCCACGAAGAUC